AGCCAAGAAAGCACAGGCAAAGGAAUAUGGAUUUGAGGAAGAUAAAUCAGAUUCAGAGGAUGAAGAUGAAGGAAUUAGAAAAGCAGGUGGUGACCUCUCUCAGCAGGCUGCUCUUGCUCAGGCUGCUGCUCUUGUUGCUGCUUCCAAAGCGAGUAUGGCUUCAGCAGCAACUCCAGUUUCAGCUGGUCACCUUCUUCCCAAUGGUGGAUUACCUGUUGCAUUGCCUGGUGUACUUGGUAUUAAUAUACCCGGUGCAACAGCAGUUGCUGUUGGAAAUGGACUAUCAGUUGGCUCUAAUGAUGUGACAGCCAGAGCAACAGCAUUGGCAGCUGCCUUGAACUUGCAGCAUAACUUAGCAAAGAUUCAGGCCGAUGCAAUGCCUGAACAUUAUGAAGCAGAAUUAGAGAUUAAUGAUUUUCCUCAAAAUGCUCGUUGGAAGGUUACACACAAGGAGACGUUGGGUCCUAUUUCUGAAUGGACAGGAGCUGCCAUCACCACUCGAGGACAGUAUGUUCCACCUGGCAAGGUACCAGGGUUUGGGGAAAGGAAGCUGUACUUGUUCAUCGAAGGCCCCACCGAGCAAUCUGUCAAGAGAGCAAAAGCAGAGUUAAAACGUGUACUGGAGGACAUUACCAUGCAAGCAUCAUCACUUCCUGGUUCGGCUCAACCAGGCAGAUACUCAGUUGUAUAAGAAUGAACACCGUUGUCAUUAUGAUGUUACUUUUUAUCUAUUAUCUUUUCCGAGCAAAUUAUUUCCUAAAUUUUGUUACUCAAUUUGGAGAUGACUUACUUUGUAAUGAUAUAAACAGGUUUAACUAGAUACAUGAUUCUCAGUGAUCAUCGGCCAUGGUUAGUUCCUCUCCUAUAUUAUCUCAUACCUGUUAUCUGUAUUACUUGAUUCCUUUACUGAUAGUAUCAUCAAAGCUGCUAUUUGAAUUGAAACUGCCACAGGGAGAUUACAUAGAGUUGCCCAGGAAGAAGCAUGGUAUUCAGUCACCCCGACUAAUAUCUUGUUAGGAAAGAAACCCUGUGGUAACUUUUGUAACACAAUUACUUGAAUUUCCUAUUUACUCAUGUUAUAGAGUAGCAGAAUUGCUUGAAUUCUAUGCAUGAGGAAUCAUCAUAUGCACAAGGUUGAUGACGAUUUUCA
rnacentral:misc_RNA from 1 species